UCUACAUGAUAAGGAUAAGGGCCACAGGUAGUUGAAUCCUUUUUACAACUCUACCACUAACGUCUAUAAAUACAUGACCAAAGCUAAUUGCUAAGGUAGGUCUUUACAUACAAUUUCAUUAUACAUUCUCUCAUAUAAAUUUCCUCUCUGACUUAAGCAUCGGAAGGACGACGAUGACACACAUCAUUGCCUUUGUUUCAAGUACCGAAAUGCUCUGUUUGUGCUCUUUCUCAGUCUUCAAGCUCGGGAGAUUUACCAAGUACGAUUUUUGGUAGCAUCAUUGGCGCCAUUUGUGAGAAUCGUUACCAAAAGCCAUGGUGAACACACGUUCAAGUCUUCCUCCAACAAGCUCAUUCAUUCCAGACCCUUAUCUUCCCUCUGAAGGUCAUCCUGUCCCUCAAGAAGAAUCAUCAGAGAUGCCAGCCUUCGCUACUGUUGGAGCUUUUGAAGAGCUUUGCUAACAAGUUACCGUAUUAACUCAGUUAUUGAGCAAGAGAAAUUCUCACCCAUCACAUACACCGACGCUUGAAGGUGAUUUUGUGACAGAUGCUCGAGCUCGGGCCCUGCAACACAUUCUUGAUGAUGGUAGGGCUGGAAUCUCGGGUGUACCCUAUAUGGCCUUGGCUUCGGGAAGAGUAACGAUAGACUCUGGUGAACUCGUGAAGAUCAUUAAAAGACUUGUCACGAGCAGGCAACACCAAAAGACCUGUCGCGAGCAGACAUCAACAAAAGACCUGUCGCGAGAAGGCAUCAUCAAAAGACCUGUCAUGAGCAGCAGGCAACAUCAAAAAGCCCUGUCAUGAGCAGACAUCACAAAAAAGACUUGUCACAAGCAGGCAUCAAAAGACCUGUCACGAGCAAACAACACCAAAAGACUUGUCAUGAGCAGGCAACAUCAAAAGACCUGUCACGAGCAGGCAACAUCAAAAGAUAUACCACGAGCAGGCUCAUCAAAAGACCUGCUCGAAAGACCUGUCACGAACAGGCGUGAUCAAAAGACCCAUCACAAGCGGGCAUGAUCAAAAGACCUAUCACGAGCAUGAAUCUCUAAGCAUUGCUUUGUGUAUUACAUCUCAAAACUUCAGCGCCAAGUAAAAAUCCCGAUGACGUUUCCAUCUUGAGCUUAUUAGGCUUAAUUUGCCCAUAAAAUCUUAGCCUUAGAGCUCGGGACAUUAUUCAACAUUGUGCCUGGGGGGCCUAACCUCGAGCUCAAUAUAUGGCCAAAAUCUCAGCCUCUGAGCUCGGGAUAUUAUUCAACAUUGGGAUCAAGGCCUAACCUCGAGCUCAAUACAUUGCCAAAGUCCCAAUCAAAGAGCUUGAGCUCGAGGUCGAGCUCAUGCAUGCCAACUUCUAGACAAGCUCGGGAUCGAGCUCUUUCACUUCAAGUUUGGCAAAGCACAUAGUCGAGCUCUUCAUUUCAAGUUUUAGACAAAAGCUCUAGGUCGAGCUCAUUCAUUUUCAAAUUAUGGCAAAGCUCGAGGUCGAGCUCUUCCAUUCCAAGUUGUUGACAAAGCUCCAAUUCGAGCUCUUUCAUUACAAAUCUUGACAAAGCUCCAAGUCGAGCUCAUUCACGUGAAAAUCUUUUGCAAAAGGUUGAGAUCGAGCUCUCAAUUUCAAAAAUUUUAACGAGGUCAGGAUCAAACCCUUCCUUUCAAAAUUCUUUAAGGAGCUCGAGGUUGAGCUCCCUUCUUUCAAAAUGGAUUUUUUUAAUGAGCUCGUGGUCAAGCUCCCUUAUUCCAAAAAUUUUUAAUGAGGUCAGGAUCAAGUCCUUCUUUUUAAAAUUUUUUAAUGAGCUCAAGAUCGAGCUCUUUGCUUUCAAAUUUUUUUUUAACGAGAUCAGGGCCUAGACCUUCCUUUCAAAAAAAUUUUAUGAGCUCGAGGUCGAACUCCUUUUCAAAUUUAUAGACAAGGUCCGUGUACAACUUCCUUUUAAAUUUUCAAUAAGGUAAGGGUCAAGCACAUUCAAAUAUUUUAAGAUUGAAAUCGAGCUCAUUUCUGUCAAUUUUUUUUCGAAAUGGUCAAAACUUGCUAUCUUAGGUCUGUAUGCUCGGGGCCCAUCAACACGACAUGAGCAUGCCUAUUUUUGAACCCAAAAUACUUAUGCAUCUUAUUUUAGAAACUCCCACAUUGCGCAUGAGCUCCUGAAAAGGAUGCAUAGAGGCCUAUGAUGUGUGCAAUUUAUGUGUGACCCGACCAUCCAUGACCUCAUGCUUGAGAUCAUGUUAACCUCAAGCACUCUCCUAUGGCUUGAACAUCCUCGAGGUUAUCUGGUGGGGGGUUUGAAGCCUCUAUCUCGAACUAUAUAGCUCGAUCUUCUCCUCCACACAUUUACUCAAGCACAAGGUCGGGCUUCAUGUUAAGGUCGGGCCUAUGCUCGAAAUAUUGACGUCGAGCUACAGGCUUAGGUCGGGCUUCAUGAGAUCGGGCUCCAGAAACGUUAAUUCCACUUUGGCUGCAACUCUUAUGACAUUUAUCUUCAUCCAAAUCACUUAUCUAUCACAAUUUGACUCAAACUCAAACAAAACAUUUUUAUUAUAAAACAAACACUCUACAUGAUAAGGAUAAGGGCCACAGGUAGUUGAAUCCUUUUUACAACUCUACCACUAACGUCUAUAAAUACUUUACCAAAGCUCAUUGCUAAGGUAGGUCUUUACAUAAAAUUUCAUUUUACAUUCUCUCAUAUAAAUUCUGUUUCUGACUUAAGUAUCGAAGGGGCGACGAGGACACACCUCGUUGCCUUUGUUUCUGGUACUGGAAGGCUCUGUUUGUACCCUUUCUUAGUCCUCAAGCUCGGGAGAUCUACCGGGUACGAUUUUGGUAGCAUCAGUCGUGAAUGUAUGACUUGACCUCCAUUCAAUGAAAGAACCAAAAUAAACUUAACCAGCCCAAUAGGCUAGGAGCUAAAAAGAAAUUGUACUCUACUCUUUCGUCAUGCUCAUUAUCGACAACAUGCUUUAUGUGAGAGAUUUUAUUAGCUCACAAUCACUUUCACUUCUCAAAGUCUGUCAACAUAGGUCAAAAGCCAGUUCGGGUAUUAUCCCAUCCCUUCUCAAACUCUCCUCCACGUACACAACUAAGUGCAGCCCCUGAUAUCAAAGAUCUUUGGCAGUAGACAUACAGGCAGGAAGACAUCUAGAACAGCUAAGUUCAUAUGUAUCCACCCUAGCUGAAUUGGAAAGAAGAUCAACUUUUAUGUUUUAGCGUCGGAGAGUUCACCCUAUGAAACAAGCCAUAAACGUAUGCACACAGUGUUCCUGUUCUUGGCUAUACCAAAUUCAAACAUAAUUCUCUCAUGAAGUACUCAUUAAUUGUGAGAAAAACUAUGGGUACAUGCUCCAUACGAAAACAAGCCCUUGUGGGCUCAAGCUCUUUAAUCUAUAUCUACAUACGGCGAUUUUCUCUGCUUGUUUAGGAAAGAGAAGAAAAGAUUUUCUUAGACGAAGAUAUCCAGAAAGGUUUCUGGAUGGGAUGAUAAAAAG
rnacentral:lncRNA from 1 species